rnacentral:rRNA from 1 species
UGCCUACGGGAGGCAGCAGUGGGGAAUAUUGCACAAUGGGGGAAACCCUGAUGCAGCGACGCCGCGUGAGUGAAGAAGUAUUUCGGUACGUAAAGCUCUAUCAGCAGGGAAGAAAAAAAGUCCUUUGGACUUUGGACGGUACCUGACCAAGAAGCCCCGGCUAACUACGUGCCAGCAGCCGCGGUAAUACGUAGGGGGCAAGCGUUAUCCGGAUUUACUGGGUGUAAAGGGAGCGUAGACGGCAUAGCAAGUCUGAAGUGAAAGCCCGUGGCUCAACCGCGGAACUGCUUUGGAAACUGUUAAGC